GCCGCUGACGAGAGAUUGAAUAUGAAGGACAGGGAAGUCCAGCCGAGCACAUACCACACAAAAUACGUGUCGAUCAACAUUGUUGAUAAUCCACGGGAAGACUUCAGGCAGCGGAGGUGAGGGCAGCCCAACUGCCCGGUGCAACAGGUGGGAUUUUGCGUCGCUGCAUAUGCAGGAGGAGUGAUUCGCGGGCCAUUUCCCGGACUGUCACGUCGUCGCAGUUGAACAUCUUGAGGAGGUGGUUGGUUCUGGUGGCGGUGACACACUCAAUGUUUGGGACUCCGAUACCUCCAUCUCCGCGGGCUUGGAAGAUGAUGUCACGGGUCGAGUGGGUGUUUAAGCCAA
ensembl:lncRNA